GACGAACGCUGGCGGCGUGCUUAACACAUGCAAGUCGAACGGUAAGGCCUUCGGGUACACGAGUGGCGAACGGGUGAGUAACACGUGGGUGAUCUGCCCUGCACUUUGGGAUAAGCCUGGGAAACUGGGUCUAAUACCGGAUAGGACUACGGCCUUCAUGGGUUGUGGUGGAAAGCUUUUGCGGUGUGGGAUGGGCCCGCGGCCUAUCAGCUCGUUGGUGGGGUAAUGGCCUACCAAGGCGACGACGGGUAGCCGGCCUGAGAGGGUGUCCGGCCACACUGGGACUGAGAUACGGCCCAGACUCCUACGGGAGGCAGCAGUGGGGAAUAUUGCACAAUGGGCGCAAGCCUGAUGCAGCGACGCCGCGUGAGGGAUGACGGCCUUCGGGUUGUAAACCUCUUUCAGCAGGGAAGAAGCGCAAGUGACGGUACCUGCAGAAGAAGCACCGGCUAACUACGUGCCAGCCGCCGCAGUAAGAC
rnacentral:rRNA from 1 species